ACCCUCCCAUUCCCUUUCCCGUCGGAUCUGAACACUGGUCCUGGUGGUCGUAAAAGAAGAAUAGGAAUACUGAAGCUGGGCUCACAGUGCUCCAGAGUCUGCCUCGAGGAGGGCAAGUUUCAAACUGGG